rnacentral:tRNA from 1 species
GUUGUGAUUCAGUGGUAGAGAGCAUGCCUACCAUGUUUGAGACACUGGGUUCAAUUCUCAGUAUGACA